UUACAAAGGAAUAUUAACUACACGUGUCAUGUUCUAAUUAGACGUUGAUAACAAUAAUACAUUUUUAUCGUCGAUAAAGUCAACAUCCAAUCAAAACGUGACACGUGAGUUCAACUAAA
rfam:Glycine soja cultivar W05 scaffold230_60, whole genome shotgun sequence.